UUCAGUCUCCGCUAUCAUUCAGCCUUGUGAAGUCGGCAAACCAAUAAUAUUAUUCCAAAAGUAUUUAUUCAAAAAAAAUAUUGAGUGAUUUUGUGAUUAAUUUUCGGCAAUGAAAUUUGUAUCCAAAACUAAAAUGAUGUUAUUUAAAGAGAACGAUUUCGAUCAUGAAGACGUGGAGCGCGAAGCGGAAAAUAUCCGCGAAAAAAAACGCAGACUGAACGAAAGACUAAGGCUCUGGAAAAUAAAAAGACGGGAGAUAAUGAGAAACUUCCAACGUAGGCUCGGCGCAGCUAUGAAGCUGCAACACAAAUUAAUGGUUACCAUGGAAGAGAUGAAGCAAUAUUUCCUUGUUUUCUUUCCCUGGCUCCUUGGCGCCAGCUUGGCGGAUCUGGCUCAGUUUCAGGAACUGCAAGACACUUUAAACAAUCUAAUGAGGGAUAAUAAUAGGAACAUCUGCAAAAUUGAGAAGACCUUGGAAGAAAUUACACUUCAAAGCGAUGACAAUUUAGGGAUAAACAUAAUAUAAGAUUUCAUGAACAAAUCGUGAGAAUUCGUAAAUAUUGUUUGACACAUCGGGCGGCAUUUUAUGAAAAGAUUGUGGAAUGUAGGAGGCGUCAGAGGCAACCAUUGCCUUUGGAGGCUCUUCCAGAGACAAAGACUGGAGGAUAGAUAGUCAAACAGUUGGCAAUUUAAAUUCCACACCCUUCAAGUCAAAUAAAUAUACUUAUAAUCUACUUGUUUGGAUAUCCAUGCUAGAAACAUUAUCAAACUUCAAAAUGAAUAUAUGAGAGGCCCUUAUAAUUUCUACAAAACACAUUUAGAAACAUACAUAUUAAUAUCAGAAUAUUCUUACAUUCGAAAUGAUCAUGGGAGCCGCAGCAUACACACAGGACAUAGGACACUGGACAUAGGCACGACUUAAUGGGGGAAGUCCUGCAUAUGACUGUUCCCUCUGCGCCCGUUUUGGGUGUGACGAAAAAGGACUCCAGGGCAUUUGGAGCAGCCGCCCUCAGUAUACAAUUUUUUGAUGGCCUAACAAAAAUUGAUAUCACAUUUGAAUAUGACGAAGGACAGUCUUAAUGGGUUUACCUUUAAUAUUUUAAUUUUGUAUUUUAACUUACGUCUUUCUGUUUUUUAAAAAAAUAAAAGAUUUGUCACUAAUCAACUAUUUGAAAUGAAA
rnacentral:sRNA from 1 species